GUUUGAAAUGAUAACAAUUGAAAUAGGAAUUGUUGUGACUAGAUCGAGUAAAUAAUAAAAAUAGGCUCCAAUUAAGUUGUCCGUUUGCUGGACAAUCGAAUUAAGAUCGUUUUUCAUCGGAAAUUGCCUGGCUGCUUCGGUCCUGACUUGUGGGUCACCGUCGAGGGGGGGUGAUACCUUUACGUGCCGUUGCUGCUCUGCUGCCGUGGAUGAUGGAUGACGGCCACGAAAUGCUGCGCAAAAGUGUCACACCAGCUCAAGUUAUAUACCACUACAGCAUGUAAGCACAGUGGAAUUGCCAGCACCCACAGAUAUGAGAGGUAAUGUGACCGUUUCCGGGCAGCAAUCAGAAUCCGGAAGAUAAAUGAGAAAGAUGCAGAAUUCGUCGACAAACAUUCUUUGCAUAGAAUUUCGAAGAACAAAAAAAAAACGGUUUUAUGUAUUUUAGCCAGCAGAAUGAUAACCACUUAAAUAUUUUCUUAAUUAUCCGGAAGGCAGCUGACUGGAGGUUCAUGGCGCUAUGAUUGGUUCAGAUUGGUUCCUGUUCCGAGAUGCUGCCGGAGGAAAGCUGCAGAAAGUGCAUUUUUAAAGCACCAUACAUUGAGCACUUUAGGCAUCGAGCCUCUUCAAAUACGCAAAAAGGUAAAAUGCAUUCACAGUAGGUGUUUUGUGAAAAUAAUCGACCGAAACCACUCAUCCAAAAUCUAUUGGGUCCAGGACUACGUCGAGAUGGCGUUCAAUCUCAUCGAGUACGUCGGCAAAAUGGAAAUAGUUGGGCUGUUGUAUGCCUUGAAAGCAGAGUUUAUUUUAUCGGGCCAGUUGAGGGAGAGUUUCCUAAAUUUUAAAAAUCAACUGCUGUUUAUUUUUUUUCGAUGCCAGAGAAACCUAGUUUUAUUUCGAAG